AAAUUGAAGAGUUUGAUCAUGGCUCAGAUUGAACGCUGGCGGCAGGCCUAACACAUGCAAGUCGAGCGGAAACGAGUUGUCUGAACCUUCGGGGAACGA
rnacentral:rRNA from 1 species